rnacentral:sRNA from 1 species
GUACAACAGAAAAGGCUCCUCUAGGGUGGUCUGGCUCAUCCCCGGUAGAAAGGGGGUGAGACUAUGACAGCAUUUGAAGCUUUUAUGUUGAUGCUUACUUUUGGCAUCUUAAUCGUGGCCAUGUUGUCGCAGGAUAGAAAGAAGUAGACCUCCCUUGAGCCUGCAAGCAAAUGGGAGGUCUACUUCUUAUUUUGUACACCUGAGCCGACCCCUGUUGGGGCAACUGUUGUGCUUUGACUGUAGGUGUUACCAGCACCUACA